AAAAGCUUGCUUUUUAUGGAAUCGAGUGGCAAACGGGUGAGUAACGCGUAAGCAACCUGCCCUGCAGAUGGGGACAACAGCUGGAAACGGCUGCUAAUACCGAAUACGAAGCAGCUCCCGCAUGGGGGCAGCUUGAAAGGAUGGCCUCUGAAUAUGCUAUCGCUGCAUGAGGGGCUUGCGUCUGAUUAGCUGGUUGGAGGGGUAACGGCCCACCAAGGCGACGAUCAGUAGCCGGUCUGAGAGGAUGAACGGCCACAUUGGGACUGAGACACGGCCCAUACUCCUACGGGAGGCACCAGUGGGGAAUCUUCCGCAAUGGACGAAAGUCUGACGGAGCAACGCCGCGUGAGUGAAGACGGCCUUCGGGUUGUAAAGCUCUGUUAUACGGAACGAACGGGCGG
rnacentral:rRNA from 1 species